rnacentral:rRNA from 1 species
UACAGAGGGUGCAAGCGUUGCUCGGAAUUACUGGGCGUAAAGCGUGCGCAGGCGGUUUUGUAAGCCAGAUGUGAAAGCCCCGGGCUCAACCUGGGAAUGGCAUUUGGGACUGCAAGGCUGGAGUUUGGCAGAGGAGACUGGAAUUCCUGGUGUAGCAGUGAAAUGCGUAGAUAUCAGGAGGAAUACCGAUGGCGAAGGCAGGUCUCUGGGCUAUAACUGACGCUCAUGCACGAAAGCGUGGGGAGCAAACAGG